rnacentral:rRNA from 1 species
CCCUUAGAUGUUCUGGGCCGCACGCGCGCUACACUGAUGCAUUCAACGAGUCUAAAACCUGCUCUGAUAGGGGUGGGUAAUCUUUUGAAUGUGCAUCGUGAUUGGGGUAGAUGAUUGCAAUUUUUCAUCUUCAACGAGGAAUGCCUAGUAAACGCAAGUCAUCAGCUUGCAUUGAUUACGUCCCUGCCCUUUGUACACACCGCCCGUCGCUCCUACCGAUUGAAUGAUCCGAUGAAUAUCAUGGAUUGAGGAUGCAAGUAGGUUAGCCUAUCUUCAUCUUCGAGAAGUGAAGUAAAUCUUAUCAUUUAGAGGAAGGAGAAGUCGUAACA